ACUCAAAUGAAUUGACGGGGGCUCACACAAGCGGUGGAGCAUGUGGUUCAAUUCGAAGCAACGCGCAAAACCUUACCUAGGCUUGACAUGCACGGAUUAGCUCUUGGAAACAGGAGCCACAGUCGAAAGACCGGAACGUGCACAGGUGCUGCAUGGCUGUCGUCAGCUCGUGUCGUGAGAUGUCGGGUUAAGUCCCUUAACGAGCGAAACCCUUACCGUUAGUUGCCAGCGGGUAAUGCCGGGAACUCUAGCGGGACUGCCGUGGUUAACACGGAGGAAGGUGGGGAUGACGUCAAGUCCUCAUGGCCUUUAUGUCUAGGGCAACACACGUGCUACAAUGGUCGGUACAAAGCGAUGCAAGGCCGCAAGGCGGAGCAAACCGAUAAAGCCGACCCCAGUACAGAUUGUGGGCUGCAAUUCGCCCGCAUGAAGAUGGAAUCGCUAGUAAUCGCAUAUCAGCAGGGAUGCGGUGAAUAUGUUCCUGAGCCUUGCACACACCGCCCGU
rnacentral:rRNA from 1 species